rnacentral:rRNA from 1 species
UGGGGAAUAUUGCACAAUGGGCGCAAGCCUGAUGCAGCCAUGCCGCGUGUGUGAAGAAGGCCUUCGGGUUGUAAAGCACUUUCAGCGAGGAGGAAGGUGGUGAACUUAAUACGUUCAUCAAUUGACGUUACUCGCAGAAGAAGCACCGGCUAACUCCGUGCCAGCAGCCGCGGUAAUACGGAGGGUACAAGCGUUAAUCGGAAUUACUGGGCGUAAAGCGCACGCAGGCGGUUUGUUAAGUCAGAUGUGAAAUCCCCGGGCUCAACCUGGGAACUGCAUUUGAAACUGGCAAGCUAGAGUCUCGUAGAGGGGGGUAGAAUUCCAGGUGUAGCGGUGAAAUGCGUAGAGAUCUGGAGGAAUACCGGUGGCGAAGGCGGCCCCCUGGACGAAGACUGACGCUCAGGUGCGAAAGCGUGGGGAGCAAAACAGGAUUAGAUACCCUGGUAGUCCACGCUGUAAACGAUGUCGAUUUGGAGGUUGUGCCCUUGAGGCGUGGCUUCCGGAGCUAACGCGUUAAAUCGACCGCCUGGGGAGUACGGCCGCAAGGUUAAAACUCAAAGGAAUUGACGGGGUCAUAGCUGUUUCCU